AUGAUCUCUACAUCCCUACUGCUGCUGCUGCUGGCAGCCGUACGCUGUGUUCACUGUGUUGAGCUGAUCCAGACCGGAUCCACAGUAUUAACUCCUGGUCAGUCACUGACUCUGACCUGUAAAGUGUCUGGAUAUUCAUUAACUGAUAGCAGCUACUGUACAGGCUGGAUACGACAACCUGCAGGAAAAACUCUGGAGUGGAUUGGAGAGAUAUGUGGUAGCGGUAACACUUACUACAGUGAAAAACUGAAAAGCAGGUUUCAGGUUUCCAGAGACACGUCCAGCAGCACAGUGACAUUAACAGGACAGAACAUGCAGACUGAAGACACAGCUGUGUAUUACUGCGCUCGUGAACCACAGUGA